rnacentral:SRP_RNA from 1 species
GCUGGGCAUGCUGGCGCAUGCCUGUAGUCCCAGCUAUUCAGGAGGCUGAAGCAGGAGAAUCACUUGAACCCAGGAGGCGGGGGGUGCAGUGAGCCAAGAUUAUGCCACUGCACUCCAGCCUGGGCAACAGAGCGAGACUCUGAUUCAA